rnacentral:pre_miRNA from 1 species
AACCAGUGCAGACUGUCUUUCUCUAAGCAUCUCUGGGCUAGUAUCUCUCUGAGCGCCUCAAUCUCCAGCACUACUAGGAGG